rnacentral:rRNA from 1 species
AUUGAACGCUGGCGGCAGGCCUAACACAUGCAAGUCGAACGGCAGCGGGGGGUAGCUUGCUACCCCGCCGGCGAGUGGCGGACGGGUGAGUAAUGCCUGGGGAGCUGCCCAAUCGAGGGGGAUACCAGUUGGAAACGACUGCUAAUACCGGAUACGCCCUGAGGGGGAAAGGUGGGGAUCUUCGGACCUACCGCGACUGGAUGCACCCAGGUGGGAUUAGCUAGUUGGUGAGGUAACGGCUCACCAAGGCGACGAUCUCUAGCUGGUCUGAGAGGAUGACCAGCCACACUGGAACUGAGACACGGUCCAGACUCCUACGGGAGGCAGCAGUGGGGAAUAUUGCACAAUGGGGGAAACCCUGAUGCAGCCAUGCCGCGUGUGUGAAGAAGGCCUUAGGGUUGUAAAGCACUUUCAGUGGGGAGGAAAGGGUGGAAGCUAAUACCUUUCAUCUGUGACGUUACCCACAGAAGAAGCACCGGCUAACUCCGUGCCAGCCGCCGCGGUAAAAC